ACAAUAAAUCCAUAAAAGAAAAACAAUCAGCAGAGAAGCACGAACGAACUCCCUCUUGUCUCCUCUAAUUAAAAUACUCUUUUCACACUCUCUCCCUGCUUUUCAUUUUCUCCACCUCUGUUAUAACACCACCAUCACUAUUGGAUUAACCACGAUGGUGGUAACAGGAAUCUCCGACGACACUUCUGUGUAGCCGUGGUGUCAAGUCGUGAGCGCUCAUAACUCAAAGGAAAAUCCUACCCUUAUCCAAGCAAAUACUUAAAAACCCAAAUCUAGCCAUG
rnacentral:lncRNA from 1 species